GAUGAACGCUGGCGGUGUGCCUAAUACAUGCAAGUCGAGCGAACGGACGAGACGCUUGCUUCGCUGAUGUUACCGGCGGGCGGGUGAGUACCACGUGGAUAACCUACAUAUAGGACUGAGAUAACUUAGGGAACCCGGAGCUAAUACCGGACAAUAUUUUGAACCGAAGGGUUCUUAAGUGAAAGACGGAUUUGAUGACACUUAUAGAUGGAUCCGAGCUGCAUUAGCUAGUUGGUAAGGUAACGGCUUACCAAGGCAACGAUGCAUAGCCGACCUGAGAGGGUGAUCGGCCACACUGGAACUGAGACACGGUCCAGACUCCUACGGGAGGCAGCAGUAGGGAAUCUUCCGCAAUGGGCGAAAGCCUGACGGAGCAACGCCGCGUGAGUGAUGAAGGUCUUCGGAUCGUAAAACUCUGUUAUUAGGGAAGAACAUAUGUGUAAGUAACUGUGCACAUCUUGACGGUACCUAAUCAGAAAGCCACGGCUAACUACGUG
rnacentral:rRNA from 1 species